AACCUUUACAAUGCACGAAAGUGUGAUAUGGGAACUCAGAGUGCCAUUACUUUGUAAUGGCUUUUUCCAAGAGUAAAAACCUUGGAGAAUAAGUGGUGGGAAAGACUGGUGCCAGCCGCCGCGGUAACACCAGCGCCACGAGUGGGGAUCACGAUUACUUGGCCUAAAGCGUCCGUAGCCGGAUAGAUAAAUCUUUUGUGAAAUCGUUGUGCUCAACAUAACGGCGUGCAAGAGACACUACCUAUCUUGGAACUGGGAGGAGUCAGGGGUAUUCCUAGGGGAGCGGUAAAAUGCAGUAAUCCUAGGAGGACCACCUGUGGCGAAGGCGCCUGACUAGAACAGAUUCGACGGUGAGGGACGAAAGCUAGGGGAGCGAUCCGG
rnacentral:rRNA from 1 species